AGGCCGGCACGGUUCUGACGUGUCGCAGCUGGUUGCUUGGUGCCUGUGCCGCGCGGAUGCCCGCGGGUUAAGUUUUUCCGAGGGUCCCACCUGGAGCGACCUAAAGCUGGGAAUCGUGGGCUCCGAGCGGCGGCGAAAAGCGGCCUCGGUGCCCUCCGAGAAGCGGAGUAUACAGAGGGAGGGAUUUGGAGAGUUCUGCUUCGCAGAUCCUGAAACGUUCAGUGCUCCAGAGAGAUAAAGCAGCCCUCAAAGUGCACACGCUGUCUUCAGCAGUAUCGGCUUUCAAGUUCUAAUCCAAAACAGGUGGAAGCAACUGCAGAAAGACCGAAGAAACUUCCAAAGUAGAAUGAAUUCAGAUGUCUGUUUCUUCUUCUCUGCUCAGUAGCUGAGUCAAGUUUCAGAUCUUUUCUCCUGAGAAGCAGCCUUGAACAACUCUGGCACCUGCAAAAAACACUGAGUGGCAGUCAAGUAUACUGACACAGUUUCGUCACACAGUUUCAGUGUGAUUUGUGCAAAGUCAUGCUGUGGAGGAAAAAAUCACCAGACCUGAAAACUGCUUGAAUUUAUCCUUUUUUUCAAGGUUCAGUGCAUUUUCUAACCUCUGUUCUCCUGUUUU